UUUGUGUUUAGGUCCACUUUCCUCAUAAAGUAUCAAAGCUAUUGCAUUCAAACUUGGUACACUUACUUACUAUCAUGAGGGGACUGGGCAGGAAAAGUUAGAUAACUCUGCAUUUUGACAUAAUUAUUUGCACUUUUUAUACUUAGAAAAUUGAAAAUUUGGUUAAGAAAAAAGUAUACUUUUUGCAAUUGGGAAUAUAGCCGAAUUUCGGCUAUAAAAUCGGGCCAAAAAAAAACCUGCCUAGGAUCAUGAAACUUCAUAGGUACAUUGAUCAUGACUGGCAGAUGACCCCUAUUGAUUUUCAGGUCACUAGGUCAAAGGUUAAGGUCACAGUGACUUGAAACUGUAAAAUGGUUUCCGGGUAUUAACUCAAGAAUACUUAGGCCUAGGAUCAUGAAACUUCAUAGGUACAUUUAUCAUGACUUGCAGAUGACCCCUAUUGAUUUUUUACUAUAUAGCCUUGCAUCAUGCAUAGAGUAGUGUACAAGUAGAACUGCUUUGUUAUAAGUUGUUAAAUAUUAUAUGUUAAAGAAUAAAAGAAACAUUAAAUGGGUGGAUUUGGUCAGCUGUAUCGGGAGGAGGAGGCUGAAUAUGUCCCGAAAUAAGUCAGUGAAAACCAAGAAUUGGUCAGGGAAAAGUCAGUGUAAAGUCAGGGAAUUUUAUUUCAUCAGGUUGGUUGCAACCCUGAUAAACUACAUAGCAACUUCAUAUUUGGCUUACUGGGGGGCAUUGUGUUUCUCAAAGAAAUCUUGUUUUACUUUUGUUGUUUUGCUGUAAAAGUUAUGUUUCCCCUGACAAUUUAAGACUGCAGGUAGUCUUUCACCUUUUUUUACUAGUGCUUAUACUUGAUAUAAAUAUUUGUUUGUUGUUUUCUGUCUGAAGUUUAAGGUUGCGGCUCCAAUGAUUUACUGAUAGGUCUAAGUCACUUUUGUUGACAAUUAUGUUGUGCAGUUCUUAUUAACACUGAUUUUUUUUCCCGGCAGUGUUUUUCUUAUGGAGCAUACACUUGUAAUUAAGUAAUGCUUAUUCUAGUGAUUGUUGAACACCAAUCCUAUUGUUUUCAAUUAAUUAACUUCACUCUUGUUCUAUAAUUUGUUAUUAAUUAGCAGAUGGAUAAUUAAGCCUUGGGCCUCUUUACAAAUCAAAGCUUAUAAUGCUUAUUUGUCCUUAAUUUUCACAUUACCUUACCUUAAACGUAUGGCUACGUUUAUAUCCUAUACUUCAUGGGCGGCGGGGUUCCCAUUCCGGUCCCCUUCGUGGCGUGUUUUUACCACCCAUUAUGACUUUCUGGAAAGAAUCUGUUCAAUUUUUAUUUUUUAUGGCAUUUUAUAAUAAAUGCCUGUUUCCAAUCAACAAUAUUGUGUUUGUUCUUUCCUUCAAGUCAUACGAGUCUGUCCGGUCUAUAACCUUUUCAUUUCCACCGAGGACAAUACAUAUAUAAUAUUUUAUGCACACAUAAAAGAUUUUAUGUCAUUGUACGACUUCUUAAUUGUUUAAUUGUCUGUUACCAUUAUACAUGUACUUGUUCAAGCCUUAUAUUUAAUUACUUGUGUAUAACCUCAGUGUGGGGUCACAUGGGCUCUUUUGACCAAUCAAAUUCGGUCUUGGUCAUUUUGGCCCUUUUGAUCCUUCCAGACUUUGACGUGGUUAUCCAGUCUGGUCAAAAUUAACAACCCACAUCCACCCCUUCUCCGCCACAAGCCCCAGAAAGUGAAGACUCCGAUGAGGACUUACAAAGGCAAACAAAGAAAAACUGAAAUAACAGUGCAAAAAAGAAGUGGACGCUGCAGGAACAAUGAGUUGUGAUGAGUGAAUUUGAAAAGUAUAUGCAUCUUAACAAAUUGCCUGGGAAGUCCGAAUGCAAGAGUUUGCUAAAAGAAAACCUGUGUUUAAGUAGAAGAAGUUGGAUAAAUUUAAAUGUCUUCAUUCGAAAUUAAAAAAAAAACACAUUUAACAAGCAUCAGGAAAAUUGAAAUGAUUGAGGAAUGAACAAGAUGCUGUAGAUUUGAAUGCUGUAACUGGCAAUUUGUUUAGAUGCAUAUGUUUUUCAAAUUCACUCAAAAGUGUUUUCAUUGGAAACAAUCCAAAACUGACAAUAUCAUAAUGUAACAGUAAUCAAUAUAUAACACUUUUUCACAAACAUUUAUUGAUUAUAGGCGGUUUAAAUGUUUGCGCUAGAAGAGAUAUUGUGAAACAAAUUUUGUCCAUGCUUCAUGUUCUGUAUGAAAAGUAUCGUUUUUGGCAUUCAGAACUGGAGUCUGCUCAAUUAUUUAUUUUAAUAUAAAGUUAAGUCAUCACAGUUUUGUUGAAGACAUUUCAUAUACAUGUUAAGCGACAUUCAUUUUCAAUAAAAUAUACAUGUAUGUUUUUUAAUUGUGGUUAUCCUCAUGCUUUAAAUAUAUUAAACAGAAUUUCAAACCCUUUUGGGUAGAUGUCUUAAAAACUUUUCAAUUUAUUGUAGUAAAUUAGAAGUAAAAGCUGAAGAGUUUAUGUAUUAUCCACUUUUUUAUAAUCCAAAUAUAUUGAUAGGAAAUAAAAGUUUUUACUUUAAGUCAUGUUUUGAUGCUGGAAUUCACUGUAUAGGUGAUAUAUUCAAAAAUGAAACCUUUAUUGCUGUAGAUGCAUUAAGUGAAAUGUACAAUUUAAAAAUAAAUUGUAUUAAUUAUAUAGGUGUGACAAGAGCAAUAGAUAACUUUGUGAAAAAAUAUUGUUUACCCUGUCCUACCCAACAAAUGAUAAAACUCUUUUUGCCCCCAUUAUUGCAACUGAUAUUAAAAAAGUAAUCUGGUGCUAAAAGACCAUAUAAUAUUGUAAAUAAGAACAAUGAACAACCUUCAGUGAAAACAAAAUGGGGUAUAAAAUUCAAUACCGUAAUUAAUGGAAAUGAAUGGAACUGCAUUUUUGAACUACCCUUUUUAAUAACAAAUGAUGUAAAGGUACAGUGGUUCCAAUACAGAAUAAUUCAUAGGAUUCUUCGAACAAAUAGUCUUUUGAGCAAAAUGAAAAUAAAUUAUCCAUUGUGCUCCUUUUGCAAACAAAGUGAGGAAAAUUUAGAACAUUUAUUUUGGGAAUGUCUGAUAUCUAAUGCACUAAUUGAUGAGAUAUUACUAGGUCAAUUGUUUCCUUUUAUGAAUAAAAAAAGUUUUCUACUUGAUUAUUUAAAAAAGGUCAGCUAUAGCCAUAAAUAAUGUUAUUUUGUUCAUCAAGCUAUAUAUCUUAUACAAGUGGAAAAUGAAUAAAUUCAUCCCAAACAUUACAUGAGCCAAAAAACACAAAGUAUGUAUAUGAUAACUUAUAUGAUAAGAAAAAUAGCAAUUUCAAAUAAUAAUACAGAAUCCUUUGUUAGGGAAUGGGUAUUGUUUACUACCAUUGUAGACCAAACUUAGUAUUUAAAUUUAAUGAAUAUUGUUGUUCUGUACAACUUUGUAUAAAUAUGUGUUUUGUUUUGUUUUAACUCAAAGGACCAUGUUGAAAUCUUAAAUCUUGAAAUUAUAGGUAGAACCUUGUGUCAUAAAUCACAAUUACAUGUACGUAUUUUGUUUUUUUCUGUGCAUUUUUUCAUCUGAAUAUGCAACCACUAUUUGCUUUCUGUAAUUUAUACACACAGGUACUUUUAAUAUGUAAAUACCUUGGAAAAUGUCUUUAUUUGAAAAUGUACCUAUUUUUGCUUUGCUAUGCUUCUUAUUCAUCUGAAUAUGCAGAUACUAAUUUCUUAUUACAAUUAAUACAUGCUUUAAAUAUGCUUAUAUAAUGAAAUAUCUAGUUUUUUUACUUUUGUUCUCUAUAAAUACUUUUUAAUAUUUUUCCAACACACAAUCGCAUGCAACUGUCUUAUAGUUACAGCAUUCCUUUCACUUUGUAAACUCUUAAUGUCUGUUGACAUGAAACUGUGUUUUUUUUCUUGUAAAUAUUUGUAAAAGCUAACAAAGACAUGAUGUUUGUAAUUUUGUUAAUAAACAAAAGUAAAUUUACACCCUUAAGAGUAUAAUGUAUAAAUUAGAUGAUAAGCUUUUGUAGAAUAUUUAAGAAAACAAUUAAACAUGGUCGAAGACAUUUAGUAUUAGCUCUGAUGCUGUGUUAGCUCUUGAUGCUGUGUAUGAUGUGUCAGUCAUUCUUUCAUCUAUGAUAAAUGUAGGGUGUGUUUUUAUGCCCCCCGGAUCGAAUGAUCGCGGGUAUACUGUUUUUGGCCUGUCUGUCUGUCAUCCAUUCAUUAACUGUGUGUGUCCCAAAACUUUAACCUUGGUCAUUACAUUUGCCAUAUUGAAAAUAUCAACUUGAUAUUUGGCAUGCUUGUGUAUCUCAUGGAGUUGCAAAUUUUGAGUGGUGAAAGGUCAAGGUCAUCCUUCAAGGUCAAAGAUAUGGCUUCAAAGCAGCGCAGUAGGGGGCGUUGUGUUUCUAUGGUUUUCAAAUUUCUAUGCAAAUUGCUUUGUCUUUGUAUGUCACUGUCUACAAUCAUAUAUAUAUAUAUAUAUAAAGUAUGACACUAUGACAUUGAUUGUUUUGCAUGUGUACUUUUGUAUCUCACUGUCUAUAAUUAUAUGAGUCAUGUUCUGAGAAAACUGGGCAUAAUGCUUGUGCAUAAAGUGUUGUCCCAGAUUAGCCUGUGCAGUCCACACAGGCUAAUCAGGGACGACACAUUCUGCCCAAUCUAGAUUUUUGCUAAGAAGACUCUUUAAACAAAAAAUAUCAUAAAAGCGGAAAGUGUCGCCCCUGAUUAGCCUGUGCAGACUGCACAGGCUAAUCUGGGAUGACACUAUACGCACAUGCAUUAUUACCAGUUUUCUCAGUACGCAACUCAUAUGAUAGUUUGUGUUGCCAAUGUACUUAUAUAUUUAUCUGUUAUCCAGUCUUGUAAUAAAAUGUGUUGGGAAAAUAAUAUAUAAUGUAUGCAUAUAUGUUGCUUUAUUAUGUAUUUGCACAUGUAUCAUGUACUCUUGUGAAAAAUUAUUUUGUACAUGUGUAAUAUGUGACUUCUAAAAUAAAGAAUAUGUUUUUA